GCAAGUCGAGCGGUAACAGAUCUAGCUUGCUAGAUGCUGACGAGCGGCGGACGGGUGAGUAACGCGUAGGAAUCUGCCUGGUAGUGGGGGAUAGCCAGAGGAAACUCUGAUUAAUACCGCAUACGCCCUACGGGGGAAAGGAGGGGCUCUUGGACCUUUCGCUAUCAGAUGAGCCUGCGUGAGAUUAGCUUGUUGGUGAGGUAAAGGCUCACCAAGGCGACGAUCUCUAGCUGGUCUGAGAGGAUGAUC
rnacentral:rRNA from 1 species